rnacentral:lncRNA from 1 species
UGCUGUCUCCGCAUCUCGGCCCCAAAUUCCGCUUCGAAACUCCGCGCGAGGACGACUCCGAAACCAGGGAAACAUUUACGGUGAUUCAUUUCUGCGUUCGCAAUCUUCGAAAUCGGGCGAUAUACAUUGAUCGAGAUGCGUGCCUUGGUUGUGAUCAGCAUUGUCUGCCUUUUCGCAGUGUUGUCGCUGGUGGAGGAGGCCAGCGGAAGUGCGCAGAGCUAUUCCGGAUACGUGCCGCACCCGUACGCGUACGUGCACGCCGUCGAUCCUAGCAAAUUCGUUUAUCUGUUCGGCGAGGGCCAUCGCCUGACGUAUCAGCACAGAAGGCGAUCGCACCCACGCAGCAGACCUUUUACCAGGAGAAGGAAAAUCGACGUGUCGACUAGGAAUUUUAUUCGUCCGGCACGGAGAGAGCAGUUCCUUGGUCCAGUAUUUCACGAUGACUACUUCAACGAUAUAGUAUAACUUAUUUCACCCAGCGCAAGGAUUUCUGUAGCUUGACUUCAAUACGGUAAUAUCAAGAACCUAGAUAUGAUUUUCAAAGGAAUAUCUGGAAUAGAAGUGAUAAGUAGAAACAAAUUUACGAUGUAGAAAUAGGGCAAUUUUUUUACGUACUACCUUGAGGGCAAACCAGUGCAGUUGUCUAACACGUAUUUGACUAGUACCAACUACCUCAUCCGCUAACGAUACCUCUAACGAUGAUUUUAGCAAGCCCUCGUUGGCGGUCUUUGCCUGCGCAUAAUUAAACGUUAAUGAUGAGUACUGCAGUCAUGCAGUCUCACAUAGGGAGACAGCUCGACGCCAGUGUAGUCUAUAUUAUAUUCGUGCUCGUAUUCUGACGACAUGUGACUGUGUAACCGCUAUCAAAUUGUCGCUUAAAUUUAAUUCGAGUUUUUUUCGGGUAAACCUCGGUAGUACAGAGUAUAAUGUAGCCGCGUGUGUGUGUGUGCGUAUGUGUGCGUGCCAGCAAGGUGUUUACCUGAGGCAUGCUAUACGUUCAAGGCUUCUGCGUCUUGUAGCUGGUGAAAUUAGUUAACACCGUAUUCGUAAUGAAAUCGUGCAUCGUAAUUGAAGCGUGCGGUGCUGGCUGGGCAGACGAGCAAUUCAUCCCCCCUUUCUCCAAACCUAAAGUGCUAUUAGUAGUGUAAUGGCGGACGUGAAAUCAGAUUGACAUUCACUAGCAUGCCCUGAUUCAUAACAAGAGGACAGCGUUGCGUGCGAGUAAUAGUUGUGUGUAACCCGUCUGGGGAUCUGACUAGAGAUCGGCGCGGAUCGUAUAGUAAGUGUGUCUUCCCAAUUAUGCUCACAUAAAAACAGUAUUGUGUAACGAGUCGCGUUAAAUGCUUGUAAAUAAGAAAUAUACUUUAGCUUGUUCGUGUGCGUGCGUGCGCGUGAGUGAGUGUUUGUUUGUGUGUGUGUGUGUGUGGGUGUGUGGGUGUGUGGGUGAGUCUAAGUAGACAUAAAUAGUAUUUAGUUUGUUUCUUAGCCAGUUGUCUCUUCUUUAUGUAAAGCUCAAUAAAAAUGACGUCGAAUGGUUUAUUCAGACGGUUUUCUAUAGAUCAUA